GGAAAAUUAUCACAUCUUCGCGCCAAAAUCCUACCCGCCAAACAAAGUGAACACUCUCUGCUGCCCAAACUCAACCAUCCAAACCCCAACGCUCUCCCCCCCUCUCUCUCUCUGGACAUGGCUUCCGAUUCUUCUCCGGCGGACUUCAACAAUGGGCCUUCUUCUCCUGAUGACUUCUUAUCGAGCCCAAUCGGCAACACCUUCUCCUCUCCGGUGGACGCCACCCACCGCAGUCGGCGUCGAUCCAUUACCCCCUUGGAAUUUGACACCCCGCGGGCGCAGCGGUCCCGGUUCGCCGCAUCCGAAACAACACCAACGGGCACACACCGCACCAACGGCCAUAGUGCUGGCGCUGCCCCGACCCCCUCCUCCACUGACGGUGAUGUCCCACCAUCUUCUGAAGGCGGCGAUGGGUACGGUGUGGACGAGGACCGACCCACAUUUGUCUGGGGCACGAACAUCAGCGUGAACGAUGUUAAGGUGGCGAUUGUUAGGUUUUUAAAGAAUUUUCGGGAUGAGUCGCAGUGGAAUACGGAGAGUGAGUACCUUACAGAAGGGAAGUACAUUGAGGCCAUCAAGAGAGUUGUUGAGACGGAAGAUGAUUCGCUUGAUGUUGAUGCACGCAAUGUGUUUGAUUAUGAUUCCGACUUGUAUGCGAAGAUGGUCAGGUACCCACUCGAGGUUCUUGCGAUUUUCGAUAUUGUUUUGAUGGAAAUGCUGCCCAUCAUAAACCCGUUGUUCGAAAAGCACAUCCAAACUCGGAUUUAUAAUCUCAAAACAUCCACCUCGAUGAGAAAUCUCAACCCAUCUGACAUUGAGAGGAUGGUUUCGUUGAAGGGAAUGAUUAUUCGGUCUAGUUCAAUAAUACCUGAGAUAAGGGAAGCAAUAUUUAGAUGCCUUGUGUGUGGCUACUACUCCGACCCACUUCCUGUAGAGAAAGGGCGAAUAUCGGAGCCUACAAUAUGUUUGAAGGAAGAGUGUCAAGCCAGGAAUUCCAUGACACUGGUUCAUAAUCGAUGCAGAUUUACAGAUAAACAGAUUGUGAGGCUCCAGGAGACUCCUGAUGAGAUCCCUGAAGGAGGGACACCACAUACAGUGAGCUUGUUGAUGCAUGACAAACUGGUUGAUGCUGGAAAGCCAGGAGACAGAAUUGAGGUUACUGGGAUAUACAGGGCAAUGACUGUUAGAGUUGGACCGACACAGAGAACUGUAAAAUCAUUGUUCAAGACUUACAUUGAUUGUCUGCAUAUAAAGAAAUCUGAUAAGUCAAGAAUGCUGGCGGAGGAUCAAGUGGAAGUUGACACUUCCUUGGUUGGAAACUCAGAAGAGAUUCUUUUUGAUGAAAAAAAGGUGGAACAAUUGAAAGGGUUGGCAAAACAGCCAGAUAUAUAUGAUCGAUUAACAAGGUCUUUAGCACCAAACAUCUGGGAAUUAGAUGACGUUAAAAAAGGCCUUCUUUGCCAGCUUUUUGGUGGGAAUGCUUUGAAGCUACCAUCUGGUGCUCGCUUCCGUGGUGAUAUUAAUAUUCUUCUUGUUGGUGAUCCUGGAACCAGCAAGUCCCAGCUGCUCCAGUACAUACACAAACUAGCUCCUCGCGGAAUAUACACUAGUGGAAGAGGGAGUUCCGCUGUUGGAUUGACUGCUUAUGUUGCGAAAGAUCCUGAAACAGGGGAAACUGUUUUAGAGAGUGGAGCCUUAGUUUUGAGCGAUAGAGGCAUUUGUUGCAUUGACGAAUUUGACAAAAUGUCUGAUAGUGCGAGGAGCAUGCUACAUGAGGUGAUGGAACAGCAAACUGUUUCAAUAGCUAAAGCAGGAAUUAUUGCUUCCCUUAAUGCUAGGACUUCAGUCUUGGCUUGUGCAAAUCCAAGUGGUUCACGCUAUAACCCUCGCUUAUCAGUAAUUGACAACAUACACCUUCCUCCUACCUUAUUAUCCAGGUUCGAUCUGAUCUACUUACUCCUUGACAAGGCUGAUGAGCAUACAGACAGACGCCUUGCAAAGCAUAUUGUUGCAUUACACUUUGAGAAUCCUGAGAGCGUACAGCAGGAUGUCUUAGACAUUGCUAUGUUGACCGCAUAUGUGGGCUAUGCCCGAAAGCAUAUUCACCCACAAUUAUCCGAUGAGGCUGCUGAAGAGUUGACUAGAGGUUAUGUUGAGUUGAGGAGGAGAGGAAAUUUUCCAGGCAGUAGCAAAAAGGUGAUAACAGCAACACCCAGGCAGAUUGAGAGUUUGAUACGACUUAGUGAAGCUCUAGCUCGCAUCCGUUUCUCAGAAUCGGUUGAGAAGCAUGAUGUUAUUGAGGCAUUUCGGCUUCUGGAAGUUGCAAUGCAGCAAUCGGCAACUGACCACUCCACAGGAACGAUUGACAUGGAUCUUAUCACCACUGGAAUUUCAGCAAGUGAAAGAAUGAGACGAGAAAGUCUGGUAUCAUCAGCUCGCAACAUAAUUAUGGAGAAGAUACAACUUGGGGGACCCUCAAUGCGCUUGUUAGAGCUGCUGGAGGAGCUGAAGCAGCAGCUCUGGCGGUGAACUCCACCUCAACGAUCUGAGGACUGCAAUUACGACACUAGCAAGUGAGGGAUUUGUGGCUUUUGUUCACGGCGACAGUGUCAAAAGAAUAUGAUGAGAAAGGAGACAGAGAAGAAAUGGGUGACACUUGACAUUGGUUUUUUUAGUUGCCACAGUUAAGUGAGACCUUAAAACAACUGGAGAUGUAUCACACCAUAUUCCAGGGUUGUUUUUGCAGUUGGUUAAAGUCUCGUGUUCACGAGCUGCGACAGUUGCUAGGUUCUUGACUUGAGAACAGAGGCAAGAAGAGAAGGCUUAAAUCGAUAUUUCGCUAACUCCAAAUGGCUUUACACAACCGCUUGAAGGCCAAUCUAACGUUGGCAUCCACGAAUGCAAUCAGCCGCCAAUUUCAUUUGGUAGAUGAAUUCACUAAUGAAUCCAAAGACCACUUAAUGAAAUGUCAUUUAGUACUUUGGUCUAAUCGUAUUCUUCUUCGUUUGUAAAUAAG